AGUCUUCCACCAGGAUGUGACUGAAGGCCUGGCCGAGGUCUGCAGGCCACCUGGAGGGCACCUGGAGAGCCAGGAGCGUUGCUGGGCCCUGGGUCUACCCCACGACCCCUCUGCCUCUCCCCAGGCUGUGAGCUCCCCGAGGACGACGCCCCCUCUGCUUACACCACCUGCAGGCGCUCCAGCCCCGGCACUGGAAGGCCUUGGCCACCGACACAGCAGCCUCAUCUUCUGGCUGGAUAAACUCACCUCAGAGCCAAGCGGCCCCGGAGAAGCUGCCUCUGUGGCCCGGUCUGCAGGGUGGAGUUACCGUGGGUCCCUCGCAUCAGACAUCUGCCUGCGGACCAGACACCUGCUCUCCUCCAAGGAGCCUCAAUGUCCAGAGAAGGGAUCCUGCGGUGACCGAGGGACAGGCCUGUCUUCUGGGUCACCACAUCUUGGCAUUUAUUAUUUGCCCCCAGGAAGGUCUGAAGGAUUUUACUUUUAAAAACCAUAGUCAGCCGGGCGCGGUGGCUAACGCCUGUAAUCCCAGCACUUAGGGAGGCCGAGGCGGGUGGAUCACCUGAGGUCAGGAGUUCAAGAACAAUCUGACCAACAUGCAGAAACCCUGUCUCUACUAAUACUACAAAAUUAGCCAGGUGUGGUGGUGGGCGCCCGUAAUCCCAGCUACUUGGGGGGCUGAGGCAGGAGAAUUGCUUGAACCUGCGGGGUGGAGGUUGCAGUGAGCUGAGAUCACACCAUUGCACUCCAGCCUGGGCAACAAGAGCGAAACUCUGUCUCAAAA
rnacentral:lncRNA from 1 species